CUGUACUGUGAAUAAUUGUAUUAUAAAAUGAUAGAUUGGGUACUAACAUCAAUAGGUAUAAUCUAUAAACAUGGCAGCAAAUCUUUAAAUAAGAAAAAGAAAUCAUAAUUGCAAAAACAGACAUGUAAAUUUUAUUUGCAACUUGACUUAUAAUUUUAUUUAUACAUCCUUGCACUUGGAUCAGUCAUGAAGUAGAAGAAAGUUGUAAAGACAUCUGACUUAUAUGGAAUUAUCCAUGGUUAAAAUUUCUCUUGCUUUAAUCUUGUUUAUUGUUUGUUUAUAUAAUACCUCCUUGUUGAUGUUUGAAAUACAGAUCUUAAUUUUUCCGUUGAAAUUCCACUGCUUUUGUAGGAUGCUAAUUGCUACUGCAAAUGAUAUCUCAAAUGAAACUUUUGACAUUAAAUGUUAUCCAAAAUUAUUUUUCAAGACAGAAAGUGGAAAUAUUUUGCUGUAUGAAGGAGAUAGAAUGAAGGAAGAACCAGAAUCAAGAAAAGAGAAGCUGUAAUUUAGAUGGAGCAUCAUUAUCUUUGGCAAGUCAUUUCGUGAAAACAAUCGAGGAUGAUUUUAGCAUCUCGAGAAACCGGGAAAGAAAUCCUUCAUUGAUGAGAAUCUUCUCCUCCUCAAAACCUCCCAACCCCUCUCCUUUCUCCCUUGUGGCAUUUUCCGAUACCUAGAAUUAGAUAUUAAAAUAAAAGCAAGAAUCUCGUUUGGGAUACAAAUGCUAGUAUUAUUCAGGCGAACAUUCUUGACUAUUUUGUGCUCCUUAGCCCAACAUAUCAUUUUCUCCCUACAAAUUGUAUAUGGGCAAUUAUACCUUUCAGUAAGGAUUGAUGCCAAUAGCUGAAAUCUUGUAUAUGGGCAAUUAUACGGAUUGAUGCCAAUAGCUGAAAUCUUGGUAAUUGGUAUUACUAAAGUGAAGUUAUAUGUGGGUUUGUUUCA